ACGGAAAUUUUCCAUCGCAAAUUGGGGGCGGAUAAUUAAAUGUCCCUAAAUUAAAAAUCCGAGACCCCUUCCCACGCGCGCUCAAAUCUCAAACAAUUUGAUGAGUUUUGAGAAAUCGUUCCCGAUCAAAACGAUAGAGUGCUUCUUCACCCUUCUCUUUGUGCAGAGAGAGAGGAAAAGCGUUUCUGCCCUGGCUCUGAACACAGCAGAAAACCCUACUUUUCGCGCAUAGAGAGAAGAGACCAGAUCCGCCUCCGCCCUUGGUUCUGAACACAGGCAGAAAACCCUGCUAUUCGCGCAUAAAGAGAAGAGACCAGAUUCGCGCCUCCGCCCUGGUUCUGAACAUAGUUAUGUCUCUUUUGGUUUUGAACACAGAAAACCAUGCUAUUUGCUCACGAGCUACUCCUCCGCCCAAAUCGUUACUUCAUGGGCUUUCUUCACCAAAAUUUCAGGCACGCCCCUUGUUCAACGACUACCGGAAGUUUUCAAAACUGGCAGAUCCUCGGUUACAAGGUCGAUACCCAAUGCAAUAUUUAUACUUCAUUUCCAAGUAUUUGCUUGUUAGUUUUCCAGACUCUGUUUCUGUUCGGAAGGUAAGAUACUAGUUCGUGUUUAUGCUUGGGAUUUUCUUUUUUGCUUCUCUUUUUUGUUUUGAGUCUGACUUUUGAAAGAGAUCAUUAUUUAAUGAAAAAUUAGCUGCAGUUCAAACUUUUUUUUA